ensembl:miRNA
GUGAGCCUCUGGCGGAGGCGAUCGGGGUGGCCGUGGGGGAAGGGCAGACCCUGGGGUGCUCAGCGCUGAGGUGAAG